rnacentral:rRNA from 2 species
UACGUAGGGGCCGAGCGUUGUCCGGAGUUAUUGGGCGUAAAGCGCGCGCAGGCGGCUUCGCGCGUCCGACGUGAAAGCCCCCGGCUUAACCGGGGAGGGUCGUUGGGUACGGCGAGGCUUGAGGGCGGGAGAGGGUGGUGGAAUUCCCGGUGUAGUGGUGAAAUGCGUAGAGAUCGGGAGGAACACCUGUGGCGAAGGCGGCCACCUGGGCCGACCCUGACGCUGAGGCGCGAAGGCGUGGGGAGCGAAC